CCUUUCUUCUUCCUUUGGCCCUUCUCUGGGCUCUCAGAGUGUGACAUGAAGAGGAGCCUCCUCCCCCCGUGUCUUCUAGGCCCUGGGGUGUGUGACAGCCUCCCAGAUGGCUGCAGUCAGAAGCUGAGCCACCUCAGGGAGCAGUGGGGGCAGGUCCCUUGUCCUAGGAAACCAAGAAGUGGUAGUUCUCAAAGAGGCUGAGAGGGAAGACCCCGCUCCCUCAUGGAGGUAAGAGCCAUUGACUACUUUGGGCAUAUGGGUUUCUUGGGGGAGAAAUGGGGUCCCUGCUGCAUAGCCUGGCUGGGAGCUUCCCCCAUCCCUGGGACAGAGACACCUCCAUCAAUGUGCCACCCUUGUUUUUUUCCUAGCAAGAGGCUCCCCAGAGAUCUCCUCAAACCUGUUCUCCUGGGAGCCUUUCUGGGAGGAGGCUCCUGUCCCCCAGUCUCCAACUCCAUCAUGCAGUCUCAUUCACAUAACAUCUCCGCUCUCCAGCUCCCCUUCCUGCAGCAGGACAAACGGACCUUCAGCUCCUAGAGAACAGACUCUGACCUCCUUCUGAUCAGCAAUGGGGUUUCACCAUCCCCUCAACAAAUCUGUCAGCCGGGCUGGACCGGAUUUGAAGGAGGAGGCUAUCUAACAGGGUGGCUUGGCCUGUGGCUGCCAAGCCUGGGGCUAGGCCAAAUUGAUGACCAUGUGAGCCCCACCUGAGAGGAAAGAAGGGAAAACAGCAGCAAAAGUACAGAAGCAGAGCGAGCUGUUCAGUAGAUGGCCUUGGGCCAAAACCUGGAGUCCAAGAUUGGACUGGGUUCUCUCACCGUCCCUAAGGAAGGGGACAUAGAAGACCAUGGAAACCCAAGAAGGGCAGGCCGAGCCGAAAUCAGGCUGAGGAAGAACUCCCCACGAGGGUGGAAGGCCUUGUUUCUGUUCAAGACAUUUUUGGACUUUGUUUGCAAGGAGCACGACCCAGGAAGGAGUGGACUAAAGGACAGUCACCUGGUUGGAGGGCUGAGUUCCCAGCCAACAAACUGCAAGAGUGAGUAUCAGCGGGGUUGCUAGCCCAGCAAGAAAGCGGUGACACGAGGCCUGGCCAGCAUCUAGCGGGUAGAAAACUUCUCUGUCGAAUCCGCUGAUUUGAUUGCUUCGUCUUCUGGUUUCAGACCCUCUGUUCUCCUUCUGGGCUGCCUGGACCCUGACUGUAACAUCUCUCUGGCCCAGCCUCUUACCCAGAUGUGUGCUGCAGCCAGCCCAGCGCAGGGAGCAGUGGGGACAGAUCAUCUCAUCCUGUCAGACCAAGCAACAGGGGUCCCAUUGAGGCUUAGAUGGAAGAUCCCAGGCAUCUCCUGGAGUGGAUGCGUCUGGGACCCUGGAGACUGUUUCGUGCAGGAGGUUUGAGCGGGGAGAGAUCACUCACUGUCAUGACCCAUGGGUCAUUAACCCAGGUCUACAGGGUUCCUAGGAGCAGCCACCCUCCAGCACGCCACCUGGAAGCCUACGAAAAACUGCUUACCUAGGACUGAUGAAGUCCAGACCCAGUUUGAGGCUCCAUCCCUGAGGCCCAUUGGCAGAGUCGCAGAGCAGCUAAUCUCCCCCGGGACCUCCUUAAACCAGCAGCAGGAACAAGGAGCUGUCUGAACACCCGAGCUCCUCCCCGCCCCCUCUGGACCGUGUGUUGGCUGUUCCUGCUCCCACUCCCCAGGCUUGAUUUCCUGGCAUGCGGACUCGGGGUGACUCAUCUGACUUGAGGUGCUGAACACAAUUUGGUCUUUUGCUUCUGCUCUUCCAGUGUCCUGACCCAGCUGACUCUCGACUCCUGUCUUGUGAGUGUGGACUCUGCCUCUGACCACUAGGUCUGGUGCUCAUGACCUGCCAUGACACUGACUUUUCUACAGUUCCUCCAGUGCCCUUUUCUGCUCUCCAGCUCUGCCCUCCCAGCAAGACACACCGAUGCCUUGGCUCCCAGAGUCCUGCUUGCCUGCUAGUCAAGGGCUCAGGGGGAGAGCUUAUCUUGCCCCCUCCCCCACCAUGGCUGCUUUUCCUUGGGGACUCUCCCUAGCGCAGAGGAGAAUCUGUCCUGGCAGCAAUUCAGGAAGUCUCAGAAGGGACGGUCUGCUCAGCUCCCUCUGCAAUGCCACUGCCCGAGACCAUUACGAGUGGGUGCCCAGUGACUGCGCCGGCAGCUCCUUGAGAGACUCUUGGGGCAGGGUAGACGUGUUUCCCGGUGACCGCGGGAAGCCAUGCAAAGGGUGCAGCAUUGAGGAGACUCUCCUGCUGUUCCAAAGCGUUUCUGUUCUCCUGCACGGUCAGACCGUGGGGCCGGCUGGCAGAAUGGGGAAGAGCUGGUUGAUGAUUAGUCGGAGGAUUCACCAUAGAGGCAGCAACAGCUGCAGAUCCUGGAGUCCCUGUGGCAGGGUUACCAUGCGUCCGGAUUUUCCCGGACAUGUCCGGCUUUUGGGGUUUUCAAUCGCCCUCCGGGAGGAAUUUGUAAAACUCUCCAAAGGGCCGGGAUUUCCCUCCCAAUGCAGCAAUCUGGGGGCGGGGCGGGGGGGAGCUGCGCGCUCUGUGGGGGAGCACGGCACUGUGUCUGGCUCCGCACCCCAGACACACUGCUCUGAG